rnacentral:rRNA from 1 species
AUUGAACGCUGGCGGCAGGCCUAACACAUGCAAGUCGAGCGGCAGCGGGUCCUUCGGGAUGCCGGCGAGCGGCGGACGGGUGAGUAAUGCCUAGGAAUCUGCCUGGUAGUGGGGGAUAACGUUCGGAAACGGACGCUAAUACCGCAUACGUCCUAAGGGAGAAAGUGGGGGAUCUUCGGACCUCACGCUAUCAGAUGAGCCUAGGUCGGAUUAGCUAGUUGGUGGGGUAAAGGCUCACCAAGGCGACGAUACGUAACUGGUCUGAGAGGAUGAUCAGUCACACUGGAAAUGAGACAAGGUCCAGACUCCGACGGGAGGCAGCAGUGGGGAAUAUUGGAGAAGGGGCGAAAGCGUGAUCCAGCCAUGCCGCGUGCGUGAAGAGGGUCUUCGGAUUGUAAAGCACUUUAAGUUGGGAGGAAGGGCAGUCAGUUAAUACCUGGUUGUUUUGACGUUACCAACAGAAUAAGCACUGGCUAACUUCGUGCCAGCAGCCGCCGUAACAC